AUUUACUUAUUAUGCAGGUGACUGCUUCAUCUAUAUUUUCUCCAGUAUGGAGAACUACUUGAAAGCCUCUGAAUAGCACCACUGAGUUUCUGUUCAGUGGUGCUGAAGUAACACCUUCUAUCUAAGCUGAGAUUCUCAGGAAGCAUACUGUGUUAGUAAAUCUGGGGUGGCUAAAAUUGAGGCUUUCAUCAGUGUCAGGUGAAGGUUUGGUAGUGUAGGAUAAAUCAGAUUUCCUGUCUGCUUUGCAGUCUGUGUGGUGUAUGAUACGCUUUUCUUUCAGUAUUUCUCUUAAUUAUUUGCCUUUGCGAGACAGAAACUCACACUUAAAGAUGCAUCUGAGUAAGAUGCUUGUUGUCAAAAAGGAGGAGUGAACAUUUUCUACUCUCCUGUUAAUUCAGAAUUUCUUCCAAAUUUAAACUUUUUCAGCCAUAGUUUCCUGGUCAUUUGCCUGCAUUGCAUUUACAUCUAAACUCUGGUUUCAUUUAGGUUCGCUGGGGUGACAAAGGAUCCACCGAAGAAGGGGCUCGAUUAGAAAAAGCAAAAAAUGCUGUGGUGAAACUCCCAGAAGAACCAGAAGAACCUUUUCAUCCGAAACCACCGAAACCAAAGCCUACCUCACCAGUCAUUCAGGAGAAGUGGUAUACACCAAUUAAGGGUCGACUUGAUGCACUGUGGGCGCUGUUACGAAGACAGUACGACAGAGUCUCUUUGAUGCGACCACAACAAGGAGAUGAGGGCCGAUGUAUUAACUUCACCCGAGUUCAGUCUCAGUAGAGGAGGAGAAGAGGAUACAAGGAGGAAAUACAGCCACAUUGCCACUUUCCAACAAAGCCGAGAGAACCGAGCACUUCCCCGCGUUUCUUGGAGCACCUUCAGCCCGAACUCAGAAGGUUUCUGCAUUCCCCCUACCAGGAGCCAGCAUCGCUGCACCAAGCUCUCGUGUUCCACCACCGUACAUUCCUACUCCGUGACUUGCAACAGUGACAAGAAGCAUUGACUCCUAUGCCUCUGCUUUAUAGAACGUAAAAGGGAGAACACAGACAACCAAAGAUAAUAAUGUUUUUCUAUUUUCAUUACUUUUUUAAGGACUGCGAAUUCUCAGGACAUAAUGUGCUUUUAGGGGAGAUGCAGAGUUUCUCAGACGCAAAGAUGGCACGUGUUAUGUAAAUAGGGACUGUUCGCCAUGGGCGGAGGAUAAAGCUUCCCACCAGGCUCAGCAAACACAAGAGUUCACUGCCUUACAGCGAUGUCAGAUCACAAAAUCCUUCCGAGUCUCCCAUCGCAUUGUGCCUUACGGGAACCUUCUGACUGGAAAUCUUGUCAUUCUAACACUGAAAAGUGCACACGCAUGACAAAAUGUAGACAGGAUGCCUCAAGGUAUUGGUAGCGAGCAAGACUUUGCCCUUUAGUUUUUGAAGACACCUUUCUUUCAUUAUGCACCCGGGACAGGAAGAAAAUUAAUAGAGCGUUAUUGCACAGGAAGACAGCCUGUAACCAGAGAUCUUGAGCGGAGUUUGAGGGACUGAUGCUUCAAGACCUUGACACUGUGGCUGGUGGUUUUUUCCCCCUUCCUGCAUUCAAAGUUCAGUAGCGCAUAAAACAUCAUCAUCUAUAAACAUACCUAGCAGUAGUAGGCUUAUGUAUUAUUUUUUUUUUAGAUGAAAAAAGCAGUAGCCACUAAGCUGGUAUCUCAGGGUUUUUUUCCCCCCCGAAUCUCCAAGGGCUCUUCAGCGUCACAAGCCAGCAACUCUCUUUGCAUGAGAAUUUCAAAGUUUAAUUAAUAUAAUUAAAGGCAACAGCAAGCAGCAGCCUGUGAAGAUUUUGCUCAUCUUUUUUAUGCUUUUUGACAUUGAAUGACCUAUUACUGUAUGUGCAUUACUCGGUUUUCGAGGGGGCACCGAGCAUUGGUUAAGAUUCAGCAAUGGAAAAAGACCUCCUUCCAUCAAUUUAGAAAUUAAAUUUACGGGAGCGCCGGCCAUCAUAAAACAUCGACAAUGUAUGUAUUAUAAUUUUUUAGAAAAACCAGUGUCGUGUCACGUCGAUGAUGCCAAAUUAUGUUAGCGUGAGCGGAAACACUGUGGGGGAGGAAGGAGGGAGCAGCUGAAGAAAAAGGCUCAAAUGAUCCAGUCACUUUCGAUACUGUACUUCAGAUGCAAAAUGGAUAUUCGAGUCGAAACCUGACAAAGCGCGCCUGCUUUGAUGGGAACUGGUAUAGACAAUGACCAGUGGCUGGGUCAGUGGGAUGUCUCUCUGCGAGCAGGGAGGCUUAUCAAAUGACACUAAAAAUAAGUUCAACAACCAUCACGUUUGAGGGGAAAAGGCGAACAUUUCACAUUUGGUGGGCAUGAAUGUGUGCAAGAUGGAAAGAGCAAUGCGAAGCAUCCUGGUCUAAUUAUCUCCUUUGUGCUCUUCAUUGAAAUCACAAGGGACAUAAAUAAUUCUUUUGGUCGAUGUCCAAAUUCGUGGCACUGCCCAAAGAAGCCUUCAUGUAUAUCCACUCGCUUACAUCUUUUGCUUGAGUUUAUUUAUGUCACUGGUAGCCUCAUCAUCAACAACCAUGUGUGCACAUUACGCUAUAAAUAAAGUGAUUACCUAAGUCUGUGAGCAUUUCUUCUUCUCCUUCCCCCAGUCCCGCACUCUCUAUGCAAGAGCCAACUUCACCUGGCCAGCCAUGCAGCCACCAACUUUGGCAGACAGACCAUCUAUCCAUGGAGGUCUACCUGUGGCAUCGUGUGGUGUGCUAGAAAAACUGGUCACAGCCCAACUCAAGGGCUUCUGAUUGUCCCAUGGUUCUGUACAACACAUCAGACUCUGGUAAUACAGUACGCACCAUCAGAAGGCCACACACAGCAAUGAGGUGCCUGCAGUGCUGGGUCUUCACCACUGUACCCAGCAUAAUUGCAGCUCUGACACAAAUGGCCCACAGCUGGGCAUGGCCAGUGCAGAAGCUUAUGAAAGCUGAUCUUACCCAUGAAGCCCAACCACCAACAAGACUUUGGCUUACUUGAAGCCACUGACUGCCUUUGGCUUACUUCAAGCCAUUGACUAAGCUUCUGGGUGUCCUGCAGCUGAACACGAGAUGGAGAACCCAAGCUAAGUAGGUUUGCUAAGACACAAGAGGCUCGGCACUUUUACUCACAAUGCUGGAGCAGCCUGGGCUGAAACAUAGAUCUCGUCAGAUCAAGUUAAAAACAACUCUUCUCACUUUUACUUCUUUUUCCUCCAUUUUUAAUGUAAACACUACACUUCUUUUGAGUUAUCUCUGGAAUUGUCGACUUGCAUUCUGAGCAGUGUGUUGCAUAAUAGAAAAAGAUGCAGAUGAAGAGGAUUUUUUCCUCACAUGUAUCUGCUGUCUCUCAAAGAGUAUUUGUAAAAAACAGAACCACAGAAAUAUAAAUCCACUCAUAAUCUUUUUCUCUAUAGCUGUCUAUCUGUAUUCAUUAGAAACUGUGGAAUGCUCGAUUUUUCACUGAGCGGCUGAUACUGAGCAAAAACGUAUUUCAGGUAUCUACAUUGAUUUUCCCUUCUAAUUGGCAUAAUAUUACUCUAUGUUACACUUUUCAUUUAGCUGAAGAGAACACCCUAAGAGUUUCAUUAUUAUACAGUGUGGAAUAUCUGUCACAAAUAAUUUGGGGGGCAAGAGGCACAAGGUAGUCAUGGUUUAAAAUCCACUGAUUGAAAAUGACACAAGGUAAGACUUAUUCGGCAUGAUAGCUCAAAAUGUUUGAGAAAAAUAUCAUUGGUGGGCUUAAUGCAGUAUUUCAUACAUUGCACUGUUUCAUACCUUGGGAACCUCCUUAUGAAAAGAUGCUUGUUGGAUCUCUUUGAGCCUGCCCAACCAAACCUAACAGGGUCUUGGAAAAAUAAAUCAGCAUUAGAGCAACCCAGGAAACUUUCUACUUAGAAGCAACAUCCCCAGUCUGAAUAGAUGCUGUAAGAAGAUGCCUCCUCUUAUAUAGUAUCUUAUUUUUGUGUCAAGGCAGCCCUCAAAAUACACAUGGAGAGUAACUACAGGCAGUGGUUGGUGCAACCCUUCAAUGGUUUAGGAGACUUGAGGUCUCUCAGAAAAUAAUGGGAGAAAGAGCUUAUGUUGGGAGCGAGUGUACCUUCCCAGUAAGGUGUGCUGCUUUCCACGAACAUGAGCUCUGGGUUCCCACCCCAGAUAAGGUGAGCCCGACACCCAGACUGUCACACUGAUGACAGGCUGUACAAAUGCAUGCACACUGGCCCUGGUGUGCUGUGCUAUGGUUUGGUUCCUGUAACCAGAGCCUGGGACACCCUGGUUUGGUCUCUGCAGAGAAAAGGAGGGUACAAAACAGGCAAUUUCCCAUGCAAAACAUGGCACGCUUGGCU
ensembl:lncRNA